CGGCCUUGACAUACUAAGAACUUUCCAGAGAUGGAUUGGUGCCUUCGGGAACUUAGAUACAGGUGCUGCAUGGCUGUCGUCAGCUCGUGUCGUGAGAUGUUGGGUUAAGUCCCGCAACGAGCGCAACCCUUUUCCUAUUUGCCAGCGGGUCAUGCCGGGAACUUUAAGGAUACUGCCAGUGACAAACUGGAGGAAGGCGGGGACGACGUCAAGUCAUCAUGGCCCUUACGGCCAGGGCUACACACGUGCUACAAUGGUCGGUACAAAGGGUUGCUACCUCGCGAGAGGAUGCUAAUCUCAAAAAGCCGAUCGUAGUCCGGAUCGCAGUCUGCAACUCGACUGCGUGAAGUCGGAAUCGCUAGUAAUCGCGGAUCAGGAUGCCGCGGUGAAUACGUUCCCGGGCCUUGUACACACCGCCCGUCACACCAUGGGAGUUUGUUGCACCAGAAGUAGGUAGUCUAACCGCAAGGAGGACGCUUACCACGGUGUGGCCGAUGACUGGGGUGAAGUCGUAACAAGGUAGGCGUAGAUGA
rnacentral:rRNA from 1 species